CUCAGGAACUGUGAGAUCAUGACCUGAGCUGAAAUUAAGAGAUGCUCAACCAAUUGAGCCUGCCUUUUUUUUUUUUUUUUUUUUGCCAAAAAAUGGCACUCCCCCGUCAACCCCCACCUUUUUUUUUUUUUUUUUUUCCUACACAUUUUAAAGCAGGACAGGACAAGGAAACAGCCUGGAGGGAGGGUCAUUAGUUCAAAGGCAGGCGGGUGGCUAGGCACAGUAUCAGACCCCAUCCAGGUUUCCUGGCAUCUAGAUGUACACAGACCACCCUUGGCCAAGCGUCUGGCUGCUGACUCCUCUCAGGAAGCCUGGUCAGCUCAACUGCAUGCUAACGGCAUUUCUGACAAACCAAACGUUUAGGAAGUCACUCUUUUCAGUCUUCUUUCCUGCUUCUGAUGGCUCUGGAAGGAACGGCUGUCUGCCCUCCCCCCGUCCCCACAAACAGACUUUCAGAUCAUUUGACGUCUGAAAUCCUCUCCCUCUAAACUUACUGAAGAAGACAACUGGGUUAUGCCAUGAGGUACCCAGAAGGGCAUCAGAACUUGCAUUCAUGGUGAAUUAUGAGUGCUGAACCACACGGGCGACGCCUCACCUCUGGAUUCAAUUUCCCUGAUGCACAUGUCCACCACCAUUGGCCGCUUGGUGAUAUGGGCUUUCACGAGUGUGGUAAGGUCACAACUGUAUACCUUCUUGACAUGUUUCAAGUCUGGCUUACAGUCGUUUGGGACCAUCUUGGAACACUGCUUAUGAA